UGGGGAAUAUUGGACAAUGGGCGAAAGCCUGAUCCAGCCGUGCCGCGUGUGUGAAGAAGGUCUUCGGAUUGUAAAGCACUUUAAGUUGGGAGGAAGGGCAGUAAGCGAAUACCUUGCUGUUUUGACGUUACCGACAGAAUAAGCACCGGCUAACUCUGUGCCAGCAGCCGCGGUAAUACAGAGGGUGCAAGCGUUAAUCGGAAUUACUGGGCGUAAAGCGCGCGUAGGUGGUUCGUUAAGUUGAAUGUGAAAGCCCCGGGCUCAACCUGGGAACUGCAUCCAAAACUGGCGAGCUAGAGUAGGGCAGAGGGUGGUGGAAUUUCCUGUGUAGCGGUGAAAUGCGUAGAUAUAGGAAGGAACACCAGUGGCGAAGGCGACCACCUGGGCUCAUACUGACACUGAGGUGCGAAAGCGUGGGGAGCAAACAGG
rnacentral:rRNA from 1 species